UGCAGUCGAGCGGUAACACAGAGGAGCUUGCUCCUUGGGUGACGAGCGGCGGACGGGUGAGUAAUGCCUGGGGAUCUGCCCGAUAGAGGGGGAUAACUACGGGAAACUGUAGCUAAUACCGCAUAAUGUCUACGGACCAAAGUGGGGGCUCUUCGGACCUCAUGCUAUCGGAUGAACCCAGGUGGGAUUAGCUAGUUGGUGAGGUAAUGGCUCACCAAGGCGACGAUCUCUAACUGGUUUGAGAGAAUGACCAGUCACACUGGAACUGAGACACGGUCCAGACUCCUACGGGAGGCAGCAGUGGGGAAUAUUGCACAAUGGGCGCAAGCCUGAUGCAGCCAUGCCGCGUGUGUGAAGAAGGCCUUCGGGUUGUAAAGCACUUUCAGCGGGGAGGAAGGGUCACUAGUUAAUACCUAGUGGCAUUGACGUUACUCGCAGAAGAAGCACCGGCUAACUCCGUGCCAGCAGCCGCGGUAAUACGGAGGGUGCAAGCGUUAAUCGGAAUUACUGGGCGUAAAGCGCACGCAGGCGGUUUGUUAAGUCAGAUGUGAAAUCCCCGAGCUCAACUUGGGAACUGCAUUUGAAACUGGCAAGCUAGAGU
rnacentral:rRNA from 1 species